rnacentral:lncRNA from 1 species
UGAAGCCGAUUUCUUCAUCCGUAUGCGGACAACCAGGUCAGUGAAAUUUGAAUCGCCUUUUUGAAGGUGAUCUGAAUCAAUGGCCAAUUCCCUGGUCCUUGGCUUGAUGCUGUCACAAAUGUCUAGAAGCUACGAACUAAUGGAAAAGACUCUUAAGGUUUACAUAUACAAAGAAUGAGAUAAACCGAUAUUCCACCGGCCGGAGGCUAUGCUAACAGGAGUUUAUGCAUCCGAGGGAUGGUUCAUGAAGAAUAUCAAAGAAAGCAAAAAUUUUGUUACUGGUAACCCCGAAAAAGCCCAUCUAUUUUACAUUCCUUUUAGCUCUCGAGUAUUGCAAUUACAACUAUAUGUCCCCGGGUCUCAUAGUAAAAAGAACCUGCCAUAAUACUUGAAGAACUACGUUCAUCACAUGACAACGAGAUAUAAUUUUUGGAAUAGAACAGAAAAUAAAAAAUAUCUAUUAGAUUUAUUGAUUUUCUUUUGUUAUUUUUUUCUGAUGAUGGUUGGUUUUAUUGAGUGCAAAUUAAUGGAAAAAGUUGCUUCUGAUAAGUGUCACAAAUGGGUCUUCAAAGAACCUUCAGAAUGUGAUCAGAGCAUAUCUAACUAUUGGCAAAGUUCUUUUGAUGCUGUAUGAUUCUCCCACACACACUUACACCUUCAAACACACACACACACACACUUUACACUUUCUCUUAGGACUUGAUUUGUGUAAAAAAAACAUUUGCAUUUGGGUUCAUUUGGGUCGACUCAGAUUAUACAACGGGUCAAUUUGAUUCUGUUCGAAUCAAAUUACAACCAUAAGUUUGCAUUGCUGCAGUCAUUUUUCAAAACCACUUCUUACAGCAACCGAUGGUGCUGAUGAAAUUGCAAUUAAACGUGAAGAAAGGGAAAAUCUCGCUCUAAACCACAUCACAAAAUGCCAACGUGCUUUAGGUAGUAAUCUUCACAACCCGAUUGCUCGAUGGGAUACAAAAUUUAAAGCCGGUGCUAAAACAGGUUUGCUGCAACCUUUUUCACCGAUUGUGGUUGCUGCUGAGGAGGGUGAAUGUAUCAGGCCAGGGAACGAUUACUCUGAUCGAAGGAGAUUCCCAACAAAGCCAUAACAUUAAGCGCGGGGAACUCUUCUAUGUAUCCGUGUGAAUCACCAAGUAUCUAAUCAACAUCGACAACAACGGACGCCUUGUUUUGGCGAAGAUUCUACAUUCGGUCUUCGUCCCCGGUGAAUUGCAGCUCUUUAGCGUAGGAGGUGGUAACGCAGAGUCAUCAUUCUACAACGCGUUCAGUAUCGAAGUUCUAGAAGCUGCAUUUGGUGUUGAUCGCGAAUCGGCCCAUAAAAUGGUUGGGCAGCAGAAUACUGAGGAGCAAAUUAGAUCGUUGUCCGGAGAAGAUAAAAGUAGCCGUUGGCCUUUUGGCGACCGAAAAGGAAAGGGAAGGGGCACACAUAUGUACAAGAACGAACCAUCUGUGGCGAACGAGAACGGUAUCCUCCAUGAAGUUGAUUCCCUGAUCUUCGAGAUAUCAAUGUAGCCUUUUCGCUCUUCAAGUUUGAACGGUUUUGUGUAUUUUUUUUUGGCAGUUACUGGACAAAUUACUUUCCGAUGAUUCUGUUUAUACUUGGUAAGGGAACUGAUACGAAGAGUUACAAUUGGUUGAUGUGUUUUGGAAGUUCUUUAUAAAGGGUAUGAUGAU